UGAGGAAUAUUGGUCAAUGGGCGAGAGCCUGAACCAGCCAAGUAGCGUGAAGGAUGAAGGUCCUAUGGAUUGUAAACUUCUUUUAUACAGGAAUAAAGUGAGGUAUGUAUACCUUUUUGUAUGUACUGUAUGAAUAAGCAUCGGCUAACUCCGUGCCAGCAGCCGCGGUAAUACGGAGGAUGCGAGCGUUAUCCGGAUUUAUUGGGUUUAAAGGGAGCGCAGACGGUUCGUUAAGUCAGUUGUGAAAGUUUGGGGCUCAACCUUAAAAUUGCAAUUGAUACUGGCGGACUUGAGUGCAGAUGAGGUAGGCGGAAUUCGUGGUGUAGCGGUGAAAUGCUUAGAUAUCACGAAGAACUCCGAUUGCGAAGGCAGCUUACCAAACUGUAACUGACGUUCAUGCUCGAAAGUGUGGGUAUCAAACAGG
rnacentral:rRNA from 1 species